GAUGAACGCUGGCGGCGUGCCUAAUACAUGCAAGUCGAGCGAACGGACGAGAAGCUUGCUUCUCUGAUGUUAGCGGCGGACGGGUGAGUAACACGUGGAUAACCUACCUAUAAGACUGGGAUAACUUCGGGAAACCGGCGCUAAUACCGGAUAAUAUUUUGAACCGCAUGGUUCAAAAGUGAAAGACGGUCUUGCUGUCACUUAUAGAUGGAUCCGCGCUGCAUUAGCUAGUUGGUAAGGUAACGGCUUACCAAGGCAACGAUGCAUAGCCGACCUGAGAGAGUGAUCGGCCACACUGGAACGGAGACACGGUCCAGGCUCCUACGGGAGGCAGCAGUAGGGAAUCUUCCGCAAUGGGCGAAAGCCUGACGGAGCAACGCCGCGUGAGAGAUGAAGGUCUUCGGAUCGUAAAACUCUGUUAUUAGUGAAGAACAUAUUUGUAAGUAACUGUGCAGAUCGUGACGGUACCUAAUCAGAAAGCCACGGCUAACUACGUG
rnacentral:rRNA from 1 species